GCCCGUCUAGCUCACCGGUAGAGCGCCUCACUAGUAAGGCAUAUUCCAGUUGCAAUGAGGAGGCAACAGGUUCGACUCCUGUGAUGGGCA